GUGUGAAUUAUUUUUUUCCUUGGAUAUGCAUCUGAGCAUCACCUGAUUUUCUCUCUCAUAAGCCUCAGCACUGAAUAGCAAGUACGUUCUUCGCAGAAUAAGGCUAUGAGUGAUUAAAAAAAAAAAGUACUUUAUACAUAUGCUGAAAUCCUUAUUUUUUCUUGUAUUCAUUCACCGGGACACCAAUCUGAAGGGGAAGGACACCAGCUUUCCGUGCCUGGGGAGGAAGCACGCGACGUCACUGUGGCAGGACGUACGUAGGGAGGAAGGACGGGGCGCCCUUAGCCUUCUGUCUGCCGAGCUUAUCACACACGGGUGGAAUUGGACACAGCGCCGUCUGCGAGCCCACGCAUUUUAGAAGAGUUAUUCCGGGAAGAAAUCGGGACUAGUUAUGAGGGAUGAGAGAAAAUGGGAACGAGUUUUCGAGCAUAGACAAUAAUAUUGUAAUGACAUUUUUUUAUGUCAGUGGUUCAAGGACGAGAAACGGGACAACUAUGAACCCCCCAAAAAAGACUCGGGAUAGAUGAUGUUUUUAGACGAGAACAAGGAGUGAUGAAGACCGUGAUUUUCUUAUUUUUAUCAAAGAAUUGUUAUAUUAAUUCUAGUGUGUAAAUAUUCUCAACGUAAGAUUUGCUUGUGGCAAUGUUUGUUAGGAUGGUUAGUUUUAAUGGUUACUGAAACUGUUUCAGAAUUUGUUUUACUUUCCCUCAUUUCACACGAUAGACACAACGGAAAUCCUAGUGUACAGUUAUUACCAAAAAAAA